rnacentral:rRNA from 1 species
CCCAGACUCCUACGGGAGGCAGCAGUGGGGAAUAUUGCACAAUGGGGGAAACCCUGAUGCAGCGACGCCGCGUGAGCGAAGAAGUAUUUCGGUAUGUAAAGCUCUAUCAGCAGGGAAGAAAAAAAUGACGGUACCUGAGUAAGAAGCACCAGCUAAAUACGUGCCAGCAGCCGCGGUAAUACGUAUGGUGCAAGCGUUAUCCGGAUUUACUGGGUGUAAAGGGAGCGUAGGCGGCGCGUUAAGUCUGAUGUGAAAACCCGAGGCUCAACCACGGGAGUGCAUUGGAACCUGGCGGGCUGGAGUGCCGGAGAGGUAAGCGGAAUUCCUAGUGUAGCGGUGAAAUGCGUAGAUAUUAGGAGGACCACCAGUGGCGAAGGCGGCUUACUGGACGGCAACUGACGCUGAGGCUCGAAAGCGUGGGGAGCAAACAGGAUUAGAUACCCCUGUACG